rnacentral:lncRNA from 10 species
ACCACACUGUAGGAAAAAUAAAAAGCAAUGUAGUCCAAAUGUCUCUAUCCAAAGUUUCAAAAAGAACUUGAUUUUAGACACGCUCCUUGACUUGUUUUCAGAAUCAGACAGAAGAGUGAGGCAACAAAGGUCCCUUAUUCCAGGCAGCUGAAUACCAGCACAGCCGGUUCUUUGACAGAAACAAUUCAUGUGAAUUUGAACAGAUAAUAGGGAAGGGGGAACCAAAAGAAGAGGAGAGCCCUGGGAAAGUUAUUUUAUAAUUUAUGGCAACCUCAGUCAGGCAACUGUGAACAGGUACAUAUGGAGGGCUCCCUCGGGACUAGGCAGUAUUCAGAGAUGUAAGGUGUGAGGACCGGACCCUCAUCAUUUACCAUUCCCACUAAAAAGAGCUGGGAAGGAAAUUGUAGCUGUAGCACCAGGCACGUAACUGGAGCUUAGUAACUAUUUGGUGAAGGAAUAUUAUUAAAUUAUUAACAAGAUGGAAAAAAGGGUAUUAACCACACAAAAAUACAUCUCAAGCUAUUGUUUCUCUGUUCCCUUUCCCCCAAAUUCCUAGUCUUGCUCUUAUCUGGCUGUCUCUCUAGUCACUCUU